UGGGGAAUAUUGCACAAUGGGGGGAACCCUGAUGCAGCGACGCCGCGUGAAGGAAGAAGGUAUUCGUAUUGUAAACUUCUGUCGCAGAUGACGAAGAUAGUGACGGUAAUCUGUAAGAAAGCACCGGCUAACUACGUGCCAGCAGCCGCGGUAAAACGUAGGGUGCUAGCGUUGUCCGGAAUUACUGGGUGUAAAGGGAGCGCAGGUGGCAGUGCAAGUUGGAUGUAAAAUCUACGGGCUCAACCCGUAUAAGCAUUCAAAACUGUGCAGCUUGAGUGAAGUAGAGGUAGGUGGAAUUUCCGGUGUAGCGGUGGAAUGCGUAGAUAUCGGAAGGAACAUCAGUGGCGAAGGCGACUCACUGGGCUUUAACUGACGCUGAGGCUCGAAAGCAUGGGUAGCAAACAGGAUUAGAUACCCUGGUAGUCCAUGCUGUAAACGAUGAUUACUAGGUGUGGGGGCGAAAGCUUCCGUGCCGGAGUUAACACAAUAAGUAAUCCACCUGGGGAGUACGACCGCAAGGUUGAAACUCAAAGGAAUUGACGGGGGCCCGCACAAGCAGUGGAGUAUGUGGUUUAAUUCGAAGCAACGCGAAGAACCUUACCAGGUCUUGACAUCGUGCGCAUAGGCAAGAGAUUGCUGAAAUCACUCUUUGAGUGACGUAUAGACAGGUGGUGCAUGGUUGUCGUCAGCUCGUGUCGUGAGAUGUUGGGUUAAGUCCCGCAACGAGCGCAACCCUUAUCAUUAGUUACUACGAAAGAGGACUCUAAUGAGACUGCCGUUGAGAAAACGGAGGAAGGUGGGGAUGACGUCAAAUCAUCAUGCCCCUUAUGACCUGGGCUACACACGUACUACAAUGGCUGUCAACAAAGUGAACCAAAUACGCGAGUAAGAGGGAAACACAAAAAACAGUCACAGUUCGGAUUGUAGGCUGCAACUCGCCUACAUGAAGCCGGAAUUGCUAGUAAUCGCGGAUCAGCAUGCCGCGGUGAAUAUGUUCCC
rnacentral:rRNA from 1 species